rnacentral:rRNA from 1 species
GUCCACGCUGUAAACGAUGAGAACUAGAUGUUGGGAGGUAUAACCUCUCAGUGUCGCAGCUAACGCAUUAAGUUCUCCGCCUGGGGAGUACGGCCGCAAGGUUGAAACUCAAAGGAAUUGACGGGGACCCCGCACAAGCGGUGGAGCAUGUGGUUUAAUUCGAUGCAACGCGAAGAACCUUACCUGCCCUUGACAUCCUUGGAAUCCUGCAGAGAUGUGGGAGUGCCUUCGGGAACCAAGAGACAGGUGCUGCAUGGCUGUCGU